rnacentral:rRNA from 1 species
GACAGAGGGUGCAAACGUUGUUCGGAAUUACUGGGCGUAAAGCGCGUGUAGGCGGCCCUGCAAGUCGGAUGUGAAAUCCCACGGCUCAACCGAGGAACGUCGAUCGAUACUGCUGUUCUUGAGGAUUGCAGAGGAGACUGGAAUUCCCGGUGUAGCGGUGAAAUGUGUAGAGAUCGGGAGGAACACCGGUGGCGAAGGCGGGUCUCUGGGCAAUUCCUGACGCUGAGGCGCGAAAGCGUGGGGAGCAAACGGG